rnacentral:rRNA from 1 species
GACACGCUGGCGGCGUGCCUAACACAUGCAAGUCGAACGGGGGGAACAUGAAGUAUUUCGGUACGGAAUGCGCCCCUAGUGGCGAACGGGUGAGUAACACGUGGGCAACCUGCCCCAGACUGGGGGAUAACAUUGUGAAAACAGUGCUAAUACCGCAUGACAGGGUUCCGGGCAUCCGGGACCCUUGAAAGGAGAAAUCCGGUCAGGGAUGGGCCCGCGUCCAAUUAGCUAGUUGGCGGGGUAACGGCCCACCAAGGCGACGAUUGGUAGCCGAACUGAGAGGUUGAUCGGCCACAUUGGGACUGAGACACGGCCCAGACUCCUACGGGAGGCAGCAGUGGGGAAUAUUGGGCAAUGGGCGAAAGCCUGACCCAGCGACGCCGCGUGAAGGAUGAAGGUCUUCGGAUUGUAAACUUCUUUGAUCAGGGAAGAAAGAAAUGACGGUACCUGAAAAACAAGCCACGGCUAACUACGUG